GGAGAUACUACAGGCUGAGAUUUGUGGCCUUCCCACAGUGAUUAAUUGACCUAAUCUUACCCACAGGUGCUGUCAAUAAGAAACUUGAGAGCAGACAAAAAAGUGGGAUUCAGGGUUUGUUUUGUUUGGUUACAGUGUAAAAGGUGAGUCUAUAUAUGGUUUAUAGCGGAAAACAGAAUCAAUAAUGAAAAGUAGCUAUGUAAAGACAAAGAUGUGUGACUGGGGAGAAGAUACUUGAGAGACCCAGUUUUCUAAAACAGUAAAGGACCUUGCAGUUGAAGUGAUGCAAGUAGGAGUAAGGAGAACAGAGGGGCAUGUGUGGCUGCAACGAGAAAACGAUUAGUUAGAUGCUGCUAUCCAGGGACAAGGAGAGAGGGAGGUGGAAGUCCUGUCACUGAGAAAUAUAAAGAAGAAAAAUCGCUGCUCAUGUAAUACCUGCAAAAAGAUAUUCUACCUGUGCUCCCCCUGCUGUGGAAAAUUACUAAUGAACACCAUCUUGGGAUCUGUGACAGUUCUGGAAGCACUGAUUAGAACAACAGAAAUAGUAAUUCCUAGAUCUGUCUGUCUGCCUAAUACAAUGAAAGAAAAUGGAUUCUUGUGCCUCCUCAUAUACAAUCUCCCUGUUGUAAGUUUUUAUAAUAUGAACAUACUACGCAUGGGCUUUCGCUUGUCCAUUAAAGGCUCAAUUUCAAGCCCACUGUCCUCCAUGUAGUCUUUCCAUACAAGCUUUGAAUCAGGCCCUAAUUCAGCAUCUCCUCUGAUGGCAGCUGGGAGAGCUGUCAUUUCCUGGAAAAAAUAUACCAGCACAUCUUUCCUCCUUUCCAGGAAGGGGUAUAGUCUGAUGUGCGUGUAUUCCUUAUGAGAAUAAAGAAUUGGAAAACAAACUCAGGAAAUCGGAAUGACUUCAAGAACAGCUGCUGUGCCUACCAAUCGUCACUACUGUGGUCUGUCACUAAUCUGAAUGACAAACUAUCUGUUUGUUCAGUGCUUUUCACAUCUUCCACAUCUUGCUUCAGAAGCUCAAGCUGCCUAUUUUAAGUAACUCAGCCACUGUUCCUUCCAAUACCCAUUUCAAGGUCUUAAUACAUACUGUUCCGAGUACUCCAAGCCCAGUUACCCAAAGUCUGAGAUGGUUCUGAGUGAUCACCAGUCAGGCUUCCGGGAGUCCUUCUUCCGUCUGAUUGGGAGUUUAGGUGUCAGCUCCUUGCCUGAAGACAAGUUUCCUUGAACUGCUCCAAGGCAUAUUACCAAGCACAUAACUCAUAGUGACUCCUAGUGUGUCACCAUAGUAACUCCUGAUGGCUCACUAAUUUUCUAGUUUUAGCAAACUGCUCAUUACUGCAGUACUGUCAAGUUCUGGGGUUACUCACUGAAAUAUGAAUUUGGGAGUUACAGCUAUCCUCAGGUAGCAAAAAAAAAAAAUAAAAAAAAAUACAAUGCUUAAAACCAAUGGCAAACUAAUUCAGUGCAACCCUGAAUAACCUUUUCAAAAAGGAAAAGUGUAAUGAAUAUUUUGGUUUACAGUUUUCCUACAAAAUUCUAUAGUUAAUAACCUGAAGAUAACAAACUCUUCCAUUGUUCACAAAUUCUGUUCUCAAUACUUUAUAUGAUUUCUACUUUUUUAAAAAACCCUAAUGUUUAUUUGAGGUCCAACUUGGAUCCUGUUAAAGUAAAAGGAAAAACUUCUAUUGACUUCAAUAGGAGUUGGAUAAAGCCCUUCUUCAGCUUAACAAGGGUUGUAGUUUAUCUCUUGUAACUCUGAAAGCAUAAUAAAAAAAUUCUGACUUUUGCUGAGGUGUAGCAAGUUACUUAAUAUAUGUCUGAACACAGGGCUAUGUCAGACAUGAGGGCCCUGAUCCUGAAAAGACACAAAUGAAUAUUUGACUUCACUGGGGCUAUUCAUAUGCAUAAAAUUAAGUACAUGAAUACGCUCUUGCAGGAUUAGGGCCUCACAUGCAGAAAACUUCAGACCAAAGAUGGUGUUUAUGAUGGAUGUUUAAAUUAAAGUUAAUAAUUUCUGAUAUGAAUUAUUGCAUUAUCCUAAAUAUGGUGCCAACAUGAAGAGAUGCAAAUUUGAAGAAAUAAAACCUGGUAAAAAUAAUUAAACAAAACCAAACAUCAAUGACCAGCAACUUCUUUUUUUUUUUUUCUUUCUUGAAAGAAUUAUUACCAUA